UACACUCCUGCGGGAGGCAGCAGUGGGGAAUUUUGGACAAUGGGCGAAAGCCUGAUCCAGCAAUGCCGCGUGCAGGAUGAAGGCCUUCGGGUUGUAAACUGCUUUUGUACGGAACGAAAAAGCUCCUUCUAAUACAGGGGGCCCAUGACGGUACCGUAAGAAUAAGCACCGGCUAACUACGUGCCAGCAGCCGCGGUAAUACGUAGGGUGCGAGCGUUAAUCGGAAUUACUGGGCGUAAAGCGUGCGCAGGCGGUUAUGUAAGACAGAUGUGAAAUCCCCGGGCUCAACCUGGGAACUGCAUUUGUGACUGCAUGGCUAGAGUACGGUAGAGGGGGAUGGAAUUCCGCGUGUAGCAGUGAAAUGCGUAGAUAUGCGGAGGAACACCGAUGGCGAAGGCAAUCCCCUGGACCUGUACUGACGCUCAUGCACGAAAGCGUGGGGAGCAAACAGGAUUAGAUACCCUGGUAGUCCCAUGA
rnacentral:rRNA from 1 species